GAUGAACGCUGGCGGCGUGCCUAAUACAUGCAAGUCGAGCGAACACACGAUGAGCUUGCUCCUCUGACGUUAGCGGCUGACGGGUGAGUAACGCGUGGAUAACCUACUUAUAAGACGGGGAUAACUUCGGGAAACCGGUGCUAAUAACGGCUCAUAUAUUGAACCGCAUGGUUCAAUAGUGAAAGACGCUUUUGCUGUCACUUAUAGAUGGAUCCGCGCCGGAUUAGCUAGUUGGUAAGGUAACGGCUUACCAAGGCGACGAUGCGUAGCCGACCUGAGAGGGUGAUCGGCCACACUGGAACUGAGACACGGUCCAGACUCCUACGGGAGGCAGCAGUAGGGAAUCUUCCGCAAUGGGCGAAAGCCUGACGGAGCAACGCCGCGUGAGUGAUGAAGGUCUUCGGAUCGUAAAACUCUGUUAUUAGGGAAGAACAAAUGUGUAAGUAACUAUGCACGUCUUGACGGUACCUAAUCAGAAAGCAACGGCUAACUUCGUG
rnacentral:rRNA from 1 species